CCACCUGACCCCAUGCCGAACUCAGAAGUGAAACGCCGUAGCGCCGAUGGUAGUGUGGGGGCUCCCCAUGCGAGAGUAGGGAACUGCCAGGCA
rnacentral:rRNA from 1 species